GGUUCUUUUUAAGACUAAAUCAUUUGACCCUAAAGGAUUUAUGCAUGGGGUUUUGUUUUCUUAGCUUGUGUGAGAAAGCAGUUUCACCUUACCAAGGUGCUUCAUAUAUUUGCCUAGGACGGUUGAAACAGUUUUCCUUGAAUGAAAUCCUAUCUCCUAUGUACUUGCACCAAACAAACUUUCCUUGGUUUACUGUUGUUGGUAUACAGUAGAACUGUAAAAAAUGCGUGCUCAUCUUGACUUGAAUGAUUAUUGGUUAAUGUUGCUCUAUCAAUGAGAAUGUAACAGAAUAUUUUCAUGUUGGAGUCAGGAAGAGAAUCAAGCUGAGUUAGCCCAUCAUCAGAUCCAUCAUAGAGGCUGCCAUGGUGUCUCACGCCUAUAAUCCCAGCACUUUGGGAGGCAGAGACAGGAGGAUUGCUUGAGGCCAGGAGUUUGAGACCAGCCUGGGCAACAUAGUGAGACCUUGUCUCUAUAAAAACAAAAAGCCUCCUGCAGAUCCCUCAUUCAAAUCACCUCGGAUAUGAAGAAAUGCUUCUUCACUGAUGAAAGGUUAACUUUAUAGUGAAGACGAAAGUAGCAGUGAGACAAAAUGUAUACAGGUUGAGAACCCCAAAUCCCAAAUCUGAAAUGCUCCAAAGUGCAAAUGUUCCAAAAUCUGAGAAAAACAAAUCCCAACACUUCUGGUCUCAAGCAUUUUGAAUUAGGGGUACUCAACCUGUAUUAGAUUAUAUAUUUGUCCCCACAUGGAGACCCCAUUGUAAUUUAGUAAAAUUCCUUUUCAAAAUCUAUGUGGUGAAAAAAUUAGUUUGUUAUAACUUGUUUACAUAAAAUUGAAUGAAAUGGGAAAAACAUCUUUAAAGUCUUACCGAGAGAAUACGUUGUAGGUUAGGAACUAGGGGUGUGUGUGUUUACUUGGAGAACUGUUUUGCUGCUGGUGAAAUAUUCUGCUAAGUGGCAAGAGGUUAAUAGUUGAUUUCUUGUGAUCUUUGUCAGUUCUGAGCUGUUGAGUAGUUUAGAAAUGAAGCUUAAACUAGACCCGAUAGCCUACUACAGUGUUAAAAUACAUAUGAAAAGUCAAGCAUAGAGUCUAAUGAAUAUUCCUGCCUCUUACAAAGGUAGAAAUGAUACUGCCUAUGGUAUUUUUUUUUGUUUGAGUGCAAAUCCAAUUCAUGAAUUUGUGCAUUUUAGUUGACCAGUGUUUAAUAUUUAGGAAUAGUUAGUACCUAAUUCAUGAUGACCUCUUGUUCUAGCAUACUGAAGGCCAGCUAUCAUUAAAGCAGUGCUUUUCACAGAAUGGUUUUGCUGACCUCCUAAAUAGAAGUGUGGAUGGCAGAAGCAUCAAAGAGGAUGAUCACAAGUGGGGAAGGCAGAAAUUUUAAAAGAACUGACUGAAGUAACUCCUCUACUAAUGUGACACCAUCUCUAUCCCCCACAAACCCUUGGAAAUACUAGUUUUGGGAGAAGAGAGGAGUAUGGUGACUAGAAAGUAGCUAUAACCUGUUGAUCAUUGUAUACUUUAUAAGGCAAUUUAAGUAUUAAUGUAAUUGCACAAAUUACAAAUGUUUAAAAAGUGAAGUGAAUUUAUACAAUCUAGAAGUGGUUUGUUUCUUUCUGGAAUGAGCAAAAUAAAAUUAGCUAUCGCCUGCAGCAUUGGGAAUCUAAGUGUUGACAUCUAAGCACUUGCUUGACUAUGUUAAAAGAAUGUUUCUGUAGGAAACUCUGUUCUUUAUGGUGUAGCCUCCCUUACUCUGAAAUGCAAGCAAGACUCGGGCAACAGUUCCUUAACGGAUUAGCAGUGCUGGACUGUGGCAGCCUUUUCUAAUCUCUUAGUCUAUAGCAGUUUGAUGUCUUACUAAUAAGCAUUCUUAAAUUGUGUGGUUAAUUAUUAUGCUAGUCAAGAUACAUGAAGCAGUGUGUUAAAGAUGAUGAUGAUGAUGAUGUUAUGGAAAUUAUGUCAAAAAUAAUUGUUGCAUUUCUAACGGGAAACAGUGCUCAGUGCUGUGAAAUAGCUGAGAGGUGGCUUCUUUCAGGCCUCAAGUGGGAAAAUUGUGACCAUGUGUUAGAGACAGUUGUCAUUGGCUCAGUCUUAUCCCGGAUUAUCUCAUCUGGAAAUCCUUAACUUAAUUACAUCUGCAGAAGCUUUUUUUCCCAAAAUUAUCACAUUCACAGAUUCUGGGUGGACAUAUUUUGGGAGGUGGGGACAGGGACAGGGUGCAUCAUUCAGUCCACUACGGGAAUAUGUAACUACUUUUAAAACAGAAAUGGAAGAGAUGUGCACUCAAAUUUUAUGCUGAUGGUACACCUUUAUCAAAGCUUGGAGACUUCUAGUUUAGAGAACUGUUUGGGUUGGAUACAGUUGGCCUCUUUUCAUGUAAUUAGACGACCCUCUGUGACAUGAAAAGUAGUAUAAGAGUUAAGGCCAGGAACGGUGGCUCACACCUGUAAUCCCAACACUUCGGGAGGCUUAGGCGGGCGGAUCACGAGACUUGUCAGGAAUAUGGAUAACUUUCAGAUAGACUCAGAAAAGCACGGGACUGUUUUGUGCUUCAGAGGCUUUGGCUCCACCAAGUUUCAGAUACUUAGCUUCAGUUGUAGUUUGCCUCUAGAUCCCCUCAUAAUCAGAGAAACAGUGCUGAAAGCUUCACAAGAGUAGCUAAUUUAGGAAAAGGUGUGCAUAUGUGGUGGGGGGAGUGUUUUUGUCUAACACAUUUUCUGUUUUGGUGGUGAGAUCUUCAUUUCUUAACAUCUUUCUUGUUCUUGUUCAUAUGACUUUUAGCUCAUUAACCUUGCUCUCUGUGCUGCGUAGUGAAGCACCAUUUCUAUUUAGUCUCCUGUGUUUAGCUUCUCAGAAGAAUUUUUUUGAAAAUGUUUGGAAGUGUGAUUUAAUUGCAAGGCUGUUUGCACAUUGUCAGUGUGAAAGCAAAGAUGAAUUUCGUAUUUAGACUGUGCAACCUGCAGAUUUCAUUUGUUAAACCUUCCAGUUGGUACUCCCGUUCUCUCAUACAUGUGUGCAUAAUAAUAGUAUGGAAAAAAACUCCUGUUUUGUUGUAUCCAUAUUUAUCAGUUUGGUUGAGUUAUGGAAAAGCCUGUCCUUUGCUUUGUGUAUUUGCUCAUUUGGAAACCUUGUAUAGUUUAUAGAGACACUAGUGAUUUGUUCCCCAGCUUCCCUGUGGGUUUUGUUCCAUAUUACAAUCUAAUUCCACCUCUCUGUCCCAUACUCCUGAGCUGUUAAUUUGUACAUUUCGAUGCCGUUUGUUUCAUCCUGUGUUUUUUAAUCCAAACUGAAUGUAAUGGGCUGUGUGCUUUAGGGACCUGGCUUUGCCUUGCCAAUUAGAACAAAGUGGUUACUGAGUAAGAGUAUGUUUUAAAUAAAACAUGGCACCUCUGAAUGGUGCUGAUACUCAUUUGGGAAUAAAAGAGAUGGUUUUAACCCUUUGACUCACAAAGAAGAGCCAUUAUAAAAGAUCAUAUAUAUAUAUUUUUUUUUCUUUGAAAAGAAGGGUAAAGUUUACCUCCAUAAAAUGUGGUUUUACAAGUUUCUUAAGUGUUACAUGCUAUAUUAGUAAUCUUGAAGAUGAGACUAGAAAUAAAUCUAUAACAAAGUUGCAACAACCCUUUAAUUUGUAGAUACUGCUUUAGGAUUGUAUGCCUUUUUCUGUUUACUAUCUCUUAAUUCAGGUGCUGUUAGUCUUGCAGCGUAUAUCACGUGGAGAAAGGGUUGGUGUGGUUUGUUUAGUGGCUCCAUUGAAAGGCUGCCUAGGACUUCUGUCUGAAUUUUAGAUGGACAUAAAUACAGGGUAUUCAUUGUGGAGGUUCAGAGUGAGAGAAUAAUGGGGAAUGUAAAAGCAUACAAGUCUGUUUUUUAAAAACUGCAACCAAGGGAACCUUUUCAAAGUACACUGUAAAGGUCAAGUGUCUUGUAUUUCCUACCUGAUCUCUAUGUGACUGAAUGGAGGCUAUUUCACUUCUGAUUUAUAAGAUACUUACCAUGACUCAAGGUUUUGUGAACAUCUGACAUUAUUAGCGCUUUUGUCUUUUGCAUGGCUCCACCCUUAAGAAGGAAAACACAGACCUAGUUUACAUUUAGAGAAGCCCUUCCCUAUAGGCCUUUGUCGCACAGCUCAAAAGAGCAACAACCUUAGAAAAUAAACUAGUCAUCUAUAGUAGAGAGCAG
rnacentral:lncRNA from 1 species